rnacentral:rRNA from 1 species
CCUACGGGAGGCAGCAGUGGGGAAUAUUGGACAAUGGGGGGAACCCUGAUCCAGCGACGCCGCGUGAGUGAAGAAGUAUUUCGGUAUGUAAAGCUCUAUCAGCAGGGAAGAAAGAAAUGACGGUACCUGACUAAGAAGCCCCGGCUAACUACGUGCCAGCAGCCGCGGUAAUACGUAGGGGGCAAGCGUUAUCCGGAUUUACUGGGUGUAAAGGGAGCGUAGACGGCGAUGCAAGUCUGAAGUGAAAGGCGGGGGCCCAACCCCCGGACUGCUUUGGAAACUGUAUGGCUGGAGUGCAGGAGAGGUAAGUGGAAUUCCUAGUGUAGCGGUGAAAUGCGUAGAGAUUAGGAGGAACACCAGUGGCGAAGGCGGCUUACUGGACCGUAACUGACGUUGAGGCUCGAAAGCGUGGGGAGCAAACAGGAUUAGAUACCCCUGUAGUC